rnacentral:snRNA from 1 species
GUGCUCACUUUGGCAGCAUGUGUACUAAAAUUGGAAAGCUACAGAGAAGAUUAGCAUGGUCUUUGCACAAGGAUGGUACAAAAAAAUCCAUGAAUAACACUAAACUGUA